rnacentral:rRNA from 1 species
GACGUAGGGCGCGAGCGUUGUCCGGAUUUAUUGGGCGUAAAGCGCGUGUAGGCGGCUUGGCAAGUCGGGUGUGAAAGCCCCGGGCUCAACCUGGGAAGUGCACUCGAAACUGCUUGGCUUGAGUACUGGAGAGGGAAGCGGAAUUCUCGGUGUAGAGGUGAAAUUCGUAGAUAUCGAGAGGAACACCGGUGGCGAAGGCGGCUUCCUGGACAG